AUGUGGAGCUAUAUACAGGGAGUACCAGUACCAGAUCAAUGUGGAGCUAUAUACAGGGAGUACCAGUACCAGAUCAAUGUGGAGCUAUAUACAGGGAGUACCAGAUCAAUGUGGAGCUAUAUACAGGGAGUACCAGUACCAGAUCAAUGUGGAGCUAUAUACAGGGAGUACCAGUACCAGAUCAAUGUGGAGCUAUAUACAGGGAGUACCAGUACCAGAUCAAUGUGGAGCUAUAUACAGGGAGUACCAGUACCAGAUCAAUGUGGAGCUAUAUACAGGGAGUACCAGAUCAAUGUGGAGCUAUAUACAGGGAGUACCAGUACCAGAUCAAUGUGGAGCUAUAUACAGGGAGUACCAGUACCAGAUCAAUGUGGAGCUAUAUACAGGGAGUACCAGUACCAGAUCAAUGUGGAGCUAUAUACAGGGAGUACCAGAUCAAUGUGGAGCUAUAUACAGGAAGUACCAGAUCAAUGUGAAACUAUAUACAGGGAGUACCAGAUCAAUGUGAAGCUAUAUACAGGGAGUACCAGAUCAAUGUGGAGCUAUAUACAGGGAGUACCAGAUCAAUGUGGAGCUAUAUACAGGGAGUACCAGAUCAAUGUGAAGCUAUAUACAGGGAGUACCAGAUCAAUGUGGAGCUAUAUACAGGGAGUACCAGUACCAGAUCAAUGUGGAGCUAUAUACAGGGAGUACCAGAUCAAUGUGGAGCUGUAUACAGGGAGUACCAAUACCAGAUCAAUGUGGAGCUAUAUACAGGGAGUAUCAGAUCAAUGUGGAGCUAUAUACAGGGAGUACCAGAUCAAUGUGGAGCUAUAUACAAGGAGUACCAGUACCAGAUCAAUGUGGAGCUAUAUACAGGGAGUACCAGAUCAAUGUGGAGCUAUAUACAGGGAGUACCAGAUCAAUGUGGAGCUAUAUACAGGGAGUACCAGAUCAAUGUGGAGCUAUAUACAGGGAGUACCAGAUCAAUGUGGAGCUAUAUACAGGGAGUACCAGUACCAGAUCAAUGUGGAGCUAUAUACAGGGAGUACCAGUACCAGAUCAAUGUGGAGCUAUAUACAGGGAGUACCAGUACCAGAUCAAUGUGGAGCUAUAUACAAGGAGUACCAGUACCAGAUCAAUGUGAAGCUAAAUACAGGGAGUACCAGAUCAAUGUGGAGCUAUAUACAGGGAAUACCAGAUCAAUGUGAAACUAUAUACAGGGAAUACCAGAUCAAUGUGGAGCUAUAUACAGGAAGUACCAGAUCAAUGUGA
rnacentral:lncRNA from 1 species